rnacentral:rRNA from 1 species
GACGAACGCUGGCGGCGUGCUUAACACAUGCAAGUCGAACGGAAAGGCCCUGCUUUUGUGGGGUGCUCGAGUGGCGAACGGGUGAGUAACACGUGAGUAACCUGCCCUUGACUUUGGGAUAACUUCAGGAAACUGGGGCUAAUACCGGAUAGGAGCUCCUGCUGCAUGGUGGGGGUUGGAAAGUUUCGGCGGUUGGGGAUGGACUCGCGGCUUAUCAGCUUGUUGGUGGGGUAGUGGCUUACCAAGGCUUUGACGGGUAGCCGGCCUGAGAGGGUGACCGGCCACAUUGGGACUGAGAUACGGCCCAGACUCCUACGGGAGGCAGCAGUGGGGAAUAUUGCACAAUGGGCGGAAGCCUGAUGCAGCAACGCCGCGUGCGGGAUGACGGCCUUCGGGUUGUAAACCGCUUUCGCCUGUGACGAAGCGUGAGUGACGGUAAUGGGUAAAGAAGCACCGGCUAACUACGUGCCAGCAGCCGCGGUGAUACGUAGGGUGCGAGCGUUGUCCGGAUUUAUUGGGCGUAAAGGGCUCGUAGGUGGUUGAUCGCGUCGGAAGUGUAAUCUUGGGGCUUAGCCCUGAGCGUGCUUUCGAUACGGGUUGACUUGAGGAAGGUAGGGGAGAAUGGAAUUCCUGGUGGAGCGGUGGAAUGCGCAGAUAUCAGGAGGAACACCAGUGGCGAAGGCGGUUCUCUGGGCCUUUCCUGACGCUGAGGAGCGAAAGCGUGGGGAGCGAACAGGCUUAGAUACCCUGGUAGUCCACGCUGUAAACGGUGGGUACUAGGUGUGGGGUCCAUUCCACGGGUUCCGUGCCGUAGCUAACGCUUUAAGUACCCCGCCUGGGGAGUACGGCCGCAAGGCUAAAACCCAAAGGAAUUGACGGGGCCCCGCACAAGCGGCGGAGCAUGCGGAUUAAUUCGAUGCAACGCGUAGAACCUUACCUGGGUUUGACAUGGAUCGGGAGUGCUCAGAGAUGGGUGUGCCUCUUUUGGGGUCGGUUCACAGGUGGUGCAUGGCUGUCGUCAGCUCGUGUCGUGAGAUGUUGGGUUAAGUCCCGCAACGAGCGCAACCCUUGUUCACUGUUGCCAGCACGUUAUGGUGGGGACUCAGUGGAGACCGCCGGGGUCAACUCGGAGGAAGGUGGGGAUGACGUCAAGUCAUCAUGCCCCUUAUGUCCAGGGCUUCACGCAUGCUACAAUGGCUGGUACAGAGAGUGGCGAGCCUGUGAGGGUGAGCGAAUCUCGGAAAGCCGGUCUCAGUUCGGAUUGGGGUCUGCAACUCGACCUCAUGAAGUCGGAGUCGCUAGUAAUCGCAGAUCAGCAACGCUGCGGUGAAUACGUUCCCGGG